CGCGGCCUAUCAGCUUGUUGGUGGGGUAACGGCCCACCAAGGCGACGACGGGUAGCCGGCCUGAGAGGGCGACCGGCCACACUGGGACUGAGACACGGCCCAGACUCCUACGGGAGGCAGCAGUGGGGAAUAUUGCGCAAUGGGCGAAAGCCUGACGCAGCGACGCCGCGUGAGGGAUGAAGGCCUUCGGGUUGUAAACCUCUUUCAGCAGGGACGAAGCGAAAGUGACUGUACCUGCAGAAGAAGCACCGGCUAACUACGUGCCAGCAGCCGCGGUAAUACGUAGGGUGCAAGCGUUGUCCGGAUUUAUUGGGCGUAAAGAGCUCGUAGGCGGCUCGUCGCGUCGGAUGUGAAAACUCGGGGCUUAACUCCGAGCCUGCAUUCGAUACGGGCGAGCUAGAAUUCGGUAGGGGAGACUGGAAUUCCUGGUGUAGCGGUGAAAUGCGCAGAUAUCAGGAGGAACACCGAUGGCGAAGGCAGGUCUCUGGGCCGAUAUUGACGCUGAGGAGCGAAAGCGUGGGGAGCGAACAGGAUUAGAUACCCUGGUAGUCCACGCCGUAAACGGUGGGCGCUAGGUGUGGGGCACUUUCCACUUCUCUGUGCCGCAGCUAACGCAUUAAGCGCCCCGCCUGGGGAGUACGG
rnacentral:rRNA from 1 species